CUGGCGGCGUGCUUACACAUGCAAGUCAAGGGGAACGGCAGGCUUCGGUUUGCUAAGUAUACUGGCGAACGGGUGAGUAACGCGUAGGUAACCUGCCUAUGAGUUUGGGAUAACACUGCUAACGCGGUGCUAAUACCGGAUAAAGCAAUUUGAUCGCAUGGUCAGGUUGUUAAAGUGGGCUUUUAGCUCAUGCUUAUAGAUGGACCUGCGUCUCAUUAGCUAGUUGGCGGGGUAACAGCCCACCAAGGCGACGAUGGGUAGCCGACCUGAGAGGGUGAUCGGCCACACUGGGACUGAGAUACGGCCCAGACUCCUACGGGAGGCAGCAGUGAGGAAUAUUGCGCAAUGGAGGAAACUCUGACGCAGCAACGCCGCGUGCGGGAUGACGCUUUUAGGAGUGUAAACCGCUGUUAGUAGGGACGAAUAAGUUAAUUUCGAAUAGGGAUUAACGAUGACGGUACCUACAGAGAAAGCCCCGGCUAACUCCGUGCCAGCAGCCGCGGUAAUACGGA
rnacentral:rRNA from 1 species